GUGAACGCUGGCGGUAGGCCUAACACCUGCAAGUCGAACGGCAGCACCGUAAGAGCUUGCUCUUACGGGUGGCGAGUGGCGGACGGGUGAGGAAUACAUCGGAAUCUACUUUUUCGUGGGGGAUAACGUAGGGAAACUUACGCUAAUACCGCAUACGACCUACGGGUGAAAGCAGGGGAUCUUCGGACCUUGCGCGAUUGAAUGAGCCGAUGUCGGAUUAGCUAGCUGGCGGGGUAAAGGCCCACCAAGGCGACGAUCCGUAGCUGGUCUGAGAGGAUGAUCAGCCACACUGGAACUGAGACACGGUCCAGACUCCUACGGGAGGCAGCAGUGGGGAAUAUUGGACAAUGGGCGCAAGCCUGAUCCAGCCAUACCGCGUGGGUGAAGAAGGCCUUCGGGUUGUAAAGCCCUUUUGUUGGGAAAGAAAAGCAGCAGGUUAAUACCCCGCUGUUCUGACGGUACCCAAAGAAUAAGCACCGGCUAACUUCGUG
rnacentral:rRNA from 1 species